rnacentral:lncRNA from 1 species
AUUCCGACCUGCACCCCAUUCCGACCUGCACCCCAUUCCGACCUGCACCCCAUUCCGACCUGCACCCCAUUCCGACCUGCACCCCAUUCCGACCCGCAUGCCAUUAUACCUUACCUAUGCAUCUCAGGACUUCGCAUCAGAUAAAAAGAGGCUGCAUUUGCAAGUUGACUCGACUUCCACAAUAAGUAUAGGUCUACCAGAAUCUGAUGGCAUAAAAAAAGUAAAAAAAAUAUUGAUUUUCCUAUGGUAAUAUUAAACUGUCUCCUGUCAUGUCUAAGUACAUGUUUUGUCAACAAUACUGAGAUUUUCUAAAGAUUCCUUGAAAUUAUUCUGAAUUUCGUAAGAAUAUCGAAAAAACCACUUCGAUCACAAGCAAGAAAGAUUGUUUACGUUGUUUAUUGUAAAAUUAGUGAAGAAGCAGUUGGAGAUCAACCGCAAUCUUCGAUUUUAAAGCGCGUCCAAAGUUGACCGGAGUUCCUAGCACUACCAUACGACGAAUGAUUGCUGAAGGUAGACCGAAUGGAAGUGUAUUUAGUGCACCCGGUAAAAAGAAGAGAGGUGGAAAGAAAACAAAUAACCUGGACAGUUUUGAUUUGGAAAUAGCAUAAUAAUAUAAAGUGAUCUUUUCAUAAAUAUUUUUUUUUUUUAUAUAUACCUACCUACACUAGCUAGAUUUUGCCCGCAGCUUCGCUUGCGACAUCUUGGGACAUAAAAAGACUGAAACGUGCGAAUGUACUUACGGACUAAUGGACAAUGCAGCGCUGGCUGUUUAGUUCAAAACAGUGAAAAUUACAGAACAAAUCUGAUUAUAGUCUAGCGACUGAUGGCAGAUAACAAGGACAAAAAAAAAUUAUGAAUAUGAAAUUUUGGAUAUAUACACGGCCUAACGCCUGAAAGUCAGUUUGUGUGUAUAAACAGUAGCACAAAGCCGUUAUUUAAGUACUUUAUAUAAUGUCUAUAUUGUCCGUCAAUAGGUAAAAAAUAAAAAGUAUCAAGACGUUUUCAUCCAAUUACCCGAGUGUUGCUUACUAUAGAAAUUUUGUUUCCCCAUUUGCCAUCAGAUCCUGGUACACCUAUAUGCGUUUUAUUUUGUCAUUUUUUAAUCUGUUUUUUACAAGUAAAUUAUGAAAAAAAAAUGUAUAUAUACAAUCUACACUUCAGAAAUGGGUGACAUUGUCAAAAUUUAAGCGUUAAGUGCAUCUAUUCACGAUAGGCACGGGAAUUUAUCAAAAUUUUUGUCUCACUUACAACCAGUAGCCUGGAUAAUGGGGUGUUUAUUGUGAUGUUUUUAUACACAGUCUACUGACGACUGGAUAACAGAUAUGACUAAUCUAAAAGUCCCUCUGUUGUGAGGCUUCUUCACAAAGAAGCCAUCUGAAGAGCCAUCACUUUCAAGGAAGUUCACCACACACCCAAUAUGGUUCUAUGCGUAAAACCGUAUGAAUCGGUUUCGAAUUUGGAGCAAUUCCUGCGGGGCCUCAUGAUUGGCACGGGCUUGCUCGCAGCCGGCUUCCUUCUCACGUCUACUAAGAUGAAUGCUGCCAAACCCAUAUUGCGAACCUUCAACCGCCUGAUACGGUAUACCACGCAAGAAUGUCAAGUGACACGUGCUCCAGAAAACUUAAUUCCAAAAUCCUACAAAAAUAUUCGUCCUUUCCAUAAAUUCGUGCGGCGGCCGUCUAGAAGACCCAAGUGUUACAAAGGAACUGUUAUGCUGCUUAGAUGUGAAGUAAAAGGAUUUUGCUAUGCAAGAUGAAAAUGCAAUUUUAUUGCAUUAUAUUUUAAAAUCGAGUCUCGAAUCCGCUCAUACAAAAACAAUGGCGUACAUUUUGUUUUUAUCUCCUUUUGUUAACGUGUUUAAUAAAUUAAACUACAAAUGCAAA